GGAAUUUCCAAUGUGAGGAGAGCAGAGGGGAGGAUGUUGGCGUUGGGAGGUACAGAUUUCUUGCCCAGGAGUGUUCCUGCCUGGCAAACAAGAUGUGUACCUCGGGGUCUACCUCAUGAAUCAGUACCUGGAGACAAACAGCUUUCCCUCUGCGUUCCCCAUUAUGAUUCAGGAGAGCAUGAGAUUUGAAAAGGUAUUUGAAAGUGCAGUAGAUCCUGGAGCUGUAGUAGACCUUUUGGAAAGCUUCCUAACCAGGUUUGAAUUAAUACAGCUAGUUCCUCCAGUGUGGGAUGAGUUGGCCUACUAUGAAGAAAACACAAGAGAUUUUCUUUUUCCAGAGCCCAAGCUGACACCUUCACACCCUAGGAGGUGUAGGGAGGUGCUCAUGAAGACAGCUCUGGGUUUUCCAGGCAUCGCUCCCAAAAUAGAGUUUUCUACAAGGACAGCCAUCAGAGAAUGUGUGUUUCUGCAUAGAAACAGAUUUCUUGAAGAAAGACAUAAGUCACAAAGGCCUUUAUCUACAUCACAUGAACCAAUAUUUCCCUUAAAUACUAUAAAGAAGAAACUAAAGGAGAAUAAUCUCAACAGACUGCCCAAAGGCAUGCAAGCCCGGGCGCCCUCUCCAUAUUCUACCAGGCAUUUCUUCCAGGACCAGCCAGCUCAGCUGAAUCUUGGAAAUAAUUUCAAAAUCUCUGGAGGAAGCAAGCCUCCAUUUGUUAUUAGACACGUGGACAGUGCAAAGCCCUUUGGUGAGAAUAUUUCAGAGCAUCAUUUGAGGAGGUCUAGAAGAAAAUCUAAGUUUUCAGACUUUCCGUUUCCAACGAGAAGAGCUUCUUCUCUUGACAGCCUUGCAGCUAACGUAAAGGUUAUCAAAGAGCCAGAUGAACGGAUUGUUUUAAGGAGUGACUCAUCAUCACAUUUAGAUUCAAGUCAGUUUGGAAAGUCCUCAUCCAGUAAACAAGGGGAUGCUGAUUUCCACGGGAAAGCUUCAUUUGCCACCUACCAGCAUUCCAGCUCUCCUGGCCCCUUGGAUCAGCCCCUUCUCAGAGAAAGGUUCCAUCCUGGUUCUCAGUCCACAUGGAAGAAUAUCCAUGAGAGGGUAUGCAGUCUUCUGACAUCCCACAGAGCACAGCAGCACCAAAACAAGGAAGAUUCUACCUCUGAAGUAAAUUAUAUCAUUGAAAGCCCAAGCUACCCUCUGAAGAAAUACCCACUGCAUGAACAGAGAUAUAUUUAAGGGGAAAUUAAUGAAAGCUUAAGGAAGAUCAUGAAGAGCUCACUCACUGAGACAAUUGAAGCAUCCUUAAAGAAAUGAACACUUUUUGUUGUCUGUGUUGAGUCACUGAUGUCUAAUCCCCUUUAAACCAAACCCUGUACUCAGUCUUUUGUGCCCAGGCUCAAGGGAGCUCGUUUGCCCCUUCCACUGGUGAGGAGACAGUGAGAAGACGCCGUCUCUGAACCAGGAAGAGGGCCCUUACCAGAUUCUGAAUCUGCCAACAUUUUGAUCUUGGACUUCCCAGCUUCCAGAACUGUGAGAAAUGAAUUCCUGUUGUUUGUAAGCUACCUAGUUUAUGACAUUUUGUUAUAGCAGCCUGAAUAGAGUAAGACACUACCCUAAAACUUGUUCAGUUUUUAGAAGAUUCAGUGAAAGCCAAGUUUUCUUUUCUCACUGUGAUCAUAGGGAUUGGUUCAUUAGGUAAAUUAAGAAAAUGAAAUUAAAAAUUAAAACAGGAAAGGAACUCCAAAAACAAAAACAACAAAACAAAAUUCAUUUAUCCUCUUCUCAGAAUUUCAGCCAAAUAAAGGUAUAUCCAAGUUGAACCUCCCAAUCUAAAAAUCUGAAAUCUGAAAUGCUCCAAAAUCCAGAACUUUUUGAGCACCCAUAUAACACCAUAAGUGAAAAAUUCCACAUCUGACCGCAUGUGGCAGGGUGCAGUCAAAUGCAUUCGAAACUUUGUUUCAUGCUCAAAAUUAUUUAAAAUCAUGUAUAAAAUUACCUUCAGGCUAUCUGUAUAAAGUGUAUAUAAAAUAUAAAUGAAUUUCAUGUUUAGGCUUGGGUCCUAUCCCCUAUCCUGAAGAUACUUCAUUGUGUUUAUGUAAAUAUUCCAAAAUACAAAAAUGAAAACCAAAACCCAAGUUUAAAAUACUUCUGGUCAGUCCCAAGCAUUGAAGAUAAGGGAGACUCAACCUGUAUCACAACCAGCAUUCCACCUUGGCAAGGCCAACAGCAAGCUUAAAUUACAUAUGCUAAUAUGUUCUCAGUCUCUCUGAAACUAUGGUUGUCAAUUUAUUGUUUUGAUGUUACCUCUAAGUAGUCAUCAAAAAUAAGAAAAUAUUGUGUUACAUUAAGGUUACACUAUAAGUCUCAGGAGAGGGCUGCUUACGUAAGCAGCUAAAGGAAAGCAGCUCUAAUGAAUUGGUAUCCCAUUUCAGUUAUUGUUAAAAUAUACACCAUGACAUUCAAUAUUCAGUGUUUUUUGAAAUGGUUUAAGUACAACUCUUUAAUAAGAUCUUAUAUGCCCAUUCUUAUUUAAAGUCAUUUUUGGUUUUCACACUAAAUUAUGCUUUUUUUCCCUCUACUUUCGCAUCUAUUAACUCUGUUCCUUAAAUUAUUAUUAUUUUUACUUUUGUUUCUCAAGGAGUUAUCUCAAUUUUGAGGAAUCAUGCUGAGGCAAGGAUUGCAGUUGAAGUAUUUUGCUUUUGGAGUAUAUAAUAGUAUGAAUAAUUUUGUGAUGUUUUGGGGUUUGGAUUACUUUGGGAAGA